rnacentral:rRNA from 1 species
AUUGAACGCUGGCGGCAAGCCUAACACAUGCAAGUCGAACGAGUGGCGGACGGGUGAGUAAUGUCUGGGACACUGCCUUAUGGAUGGGGAUAACUACUGGACACGGUAGCUAAUACCGCAUACCAUCGGAUGUGCCCAGUUGGGAUUAGCUAGUCGGUGGGGUAAAGGCUCACCUAGGCGACGAUCCCUAGCUGGUCUGAGAGGAUGACAAGGCACACUGGAAUUGAGACACGGGCCAGACUCCUACGGGAGGCAGCAGUGGGGAAGAUUGCACAAUGGGCGAAAGUCAGAUGAAGCAAUGCCGCGUGUAUGAAGAAGGUUUUCGGGUGGUAAAGUACUUUCAGCGGGGAGGAGUUACCCGCAGAAGAAGAACCGGCUAACUCCGUGCUAGCAGCCGCGGUAAUUA